GUGCUCACUUCAGCAGCACAUGUACUAAAAUUGGAACGAUAUAGCGAAGAUUAGCAUGGCCCCUGCGCUUAUCAGACUAAUAUUCUACCACUUGAGCCAUGCCUUC